UGGUUAAAAAGCUCGUAGUUGGAUCUCGGCAAGUAGAGGGCGGUUUGCUUGCUAGUAUUACUGCCCUAUAGUCCGUAGUUUUGCCAGAGGUUUCGGGGUGCUCUUAAUCGAGUGUCCCGGGAUGCUGGCAGGUUUACUUUGAAAAAAUUAGAGUGCUCAAAGCAGGCUAUUACGCCUGAAUAUUCGUGCAUGGAAUAGUAGAAUAGGAAGUCGUUUCUAUUUUGUUGGUUUUCGGAAAUCGACUUAAUGAUUAAUAGGGACAGUCGGGGGCAUUUGUAUUCAAACGACAGAGGUGAAAUUCUUGGACCGUUUGAAGACAAACUACUGCGAAAGCAUUUGCCAAGAAUGUUUUCAUUAAUCAAGAACGAAAGUUAAAGGUUCGAAGGCGAUUAGAUACCGCCCUAGUUUUAACCAUAAACGAUGCCAGCUAGCGAUCUGCGGACGUUUUUUUUGUAGACUCCGCAGGAAGCUUCCGGGAAACCAAAGCAUUUGGGUUCCAGGGGAAGUAUGGUUGCAAAGCUGAAACUUAAAGGAAUUGACGGAAGGGCACCACCAGGAGUGGAGCCUGUGGCUUAAUUUGACUCAACACGGGAAAUCUCACCAGGCCCGGACACUGGAAGGAUUGACAGAUUGAUAGCUCUUUC
rnacentral:rRNA from 1 species